rfam:Streptomyces vietnamensis strain GIM4.0001, complete genome.
CUCAAUCCUUCCUUUACUCGGAUCGUCCGGCACGUUCCUGCCGGUGAAGGGACACAUCA